rnacentral:rRNA from 1 species
AUUGAACGCUGGCGGCAUGCCUUACACAUGCAAGUCGAACGGCAGCACAGGAGCAAUCCUGGUGGCGAGUGGCGAACGGGUGAGUAAAGUAUCGGAACGUGCCCAGUCGUGGGGGAUAACGUAGCGAAAGUUACGCUAAUACCGCAUACGAUCUAUGGAUGAAAGCGGGGGAUCGCAAGACCUCGCGCGAUUGGAGCGGCCGAUAUCAGAUUAGGUAGAUGGUGGGGUAAAGGCUCACCAAGCCGACGAUCUGUAGCUGGUCUGAGAGGACGACCAGCCACACUGGGACUGAGACACGGCCCAGACUCCUACGGGAGGCAGCAGUGGGGAAUUUUGGACAAUGGGCGAAAGCCUGAUCCAGCCAUGCCGCGUGCUGGAUGAAGGCCUUCGGGUUGUAAACUGCUUUUGUACGGAACGAAAAGGUUUGGCCUAAUAAGCUGAGCUCAUGACGGUACCGUAAGAAUAAGCACCGGCUAACUACGUGCCAGCCGCCGCCGUAA